rnacentral:rRNA from 1 species
AACUUUCAACAACGGAUCUCUUGGUUCUGGCAUCGAUGAAGAACGCAGCAAAAUGCGAUAAGUAAUGUGAAUUGCAGAAUUCAGUGAAUCAUCGAAUCUUUGAACGCACAUUGCGCCCGGCAGUAUUCUGGCGGGCAUGCCUGUUCGAGCGUCAU